rnacentral:rRNA from 1 species
UUCGGAGGAUGCAAGCGUUAUCCGGAAUUAUUGGGCGUAAAGCGUCCGCAGGUGGCUGUGUAAGUCUGCUGUUAAAGAGUGAGGCUCAACCUCAUAAAGGCAGUGGAAACUACAUGGCUAGAGUGCGUUCGGGGCAGAGGGAAUUCCUGGUGUAGCGGUGAAAUGCGUAGAGAUCAGGAAGAACACCGGUGGCGAAAGCGCUCUGCUAGGCCGCAACUGACACUGAGGGACGAAAGCUAGGGGAGCGAAUGGG